CUGGAGAUCAUCCCUCUUGGAGUCCCUUUGUGAGCCCAGGACAUGGUGUCAGUGUUCAGCUCCCUGAAUGAGCUCACUAAAGCUUCAUGGGAAGUUAAGAAGAUGAGGUGGCAAUGUUCAGCCAGCAUCCAGGAAUGAAGAGCAGAACUGGGUUCAACCGUCACCCAACUGCAGAUAUUCAGAAAUUCCACAGCCAAACUCUCAAGAAUAGUCUUGAUGGGUUCAGAUAUUUGUGCUCUGAAAAGUAGAAUGGUAAUUAAUUGAGGAUGAUGCCCAGUCCAAUAUGGAAUCACUAAUGAUGAAGGAGCUCAAGAUGCAGAAGUAUUUGAAUAUUUAAGAUUGUCUACUUGGUCAAGAAAAUUGAAAGAAUAUACGAAGUCCAUUUUAAAUUGAUUUGCAUGUAGUUGACAUAGAUAGUGCAAUAGUUAUUUUAUAUCCUUAGUGAGAGAGUACUUGUAUAACAAUACGAAGUAAAAAAAAAAAAAUUAACCAAGGAUGCCAGGGAAGCACUGAAAAUAAUGGGUCAGAGCUGCAUAUGCAUCUGGAGAGAGUGAGAAAGAGAAUUUCAUGGGAAAACCUUUUGGAUAAAGAAAAAUUAUGAAUGAUGAAAUGAUGAAAGAACUCAGUUCAGUAGGAUAUAGGAGAGCACAAAUUUAUGCAUUCAAGCAAGGAGGGCAUUGUCUAUGACCUUCAUUACAGGUUGGAUCAGGGCUGCAAAGACCUGUAUGAACUGGAGAAUGGUGGAAGUUAGACUCUAAAUAGAUUUACUGUAUUACUGUUCAGAAAUGAAAUAUGAGCUGCACUUCAUAGGCAAAUGUCUAAACAUUUCCAUUUCCCCAGGAGCAUAUUGCAAUUGUAUUUUCUUCAUAAAGGAAGUUUUUGAAGUAAAAAAUGAUUACAUUUGCAAAAUAAUAAGGAAGAUAAAACCAUUUCAAAUUGAGAAAGUAUAUUUGCUACAAAAAAUUCUGUAGAAAUAGGGCCUUCAUGUUCUAGCACUUUUGCAUGCAUAGAAAUUCUAUCAGAAGUACAUUAUAUCAUUAUUUCAGGCACUUGAUUAAUUUUCAUUUGAAGUAGUUAUUUGGGAAUGAUAGCCAUCUGGGCUAUUGAAAACUCUAGUUGGAUUCACAAGCAUAAGCAUUGCAUAAGCAAUAGGCUGUAGUGGGUACCUAGAUGUGAAUGGCCCAUCUGAAGCAUUUAAGAGUAUAAAAUAAUUUGUUAAUGCUUCUUGGUUCAUGCAGGAACAUUGUGUAUUAUUGAGCUUUUGAGGAAAAGGAUAUUCAGGGUAAAGGAAAGUAUUCCAGGAAGUAAGAGAACUUUGUGAAGAAAUGGAAUUGAAGAUAAUGAAUGAUUCAACACAUUCAUUCAGGACCAUGUGUCUACAGCUUUGGCUUAUGUGUGCAUGCUUGGAAAUACUGAAAGAGGAGUUGCCAAGAAUACAUGAGAAUGCUAGCCCCCAUCUUCUAUUGGCUUCAUCCUUAGGUCCUUUAACAAAAGAUUAAUCUCCAAAGUAACUGUUUGGUAGGUCUGGGGAUUUGUUCAGGUGAAAAAAAAUGUAGAACUUUGAAAAUACGUUGUUCAACCACACAAAAACAAACUUCUGCAAACAUAUGUGCCCAUUUCUUUCUUUGUGUCCUUAGGUGGAAACAAGAAUGAUCUUCAACUUUCAUUCAGGGAUCACUGCAACUAAGACCACUUUUCAGUUAGUGACAUCUUUGCUGGUAUGAAGACAUAAUUCAGAUGCCUUUUAAAGGAAGGUGUUUCUUUUUAUCAUUUUUCUUCUUUAGGAGUAAGCAAUAUCACUUACUUACAGAAGUAAACAUAGAACAGCAGAAUUUGAUUCCUCCCCUCCCCCAGCAUAAGUAGGCAGAAAAAAGUAAUGACUUUGCACAGAAACUAAAUUAAACUAAACAGUGCUUUCUGGGGGGUUUGGUGUAGUAAAUCUCCAUGCUACUGAAAGCAGAAAAAACCCACUACUGUCAAACAGACCACACUGAUCCCUUUUACCGUCACCAAUCUUUCUGCCACAGAUUAUGCUGCCUCUGCCCAUACUUGCCUCCUUCCACCACUGUGGAUCUGUCCCCCUAUGAACAUCACUGGAAGAAAAAAAGAUCAGGGCUAAGAAUGAAGUAUCAGCAUUGCACUGUAAUGAUUUUACACUUUGUUUAAUGCUCUUUUUUUCUGGUUUGCAGAAAGCUGAAUGUGUUUGUUUAAGCAGUAUCUUGAAAAAAUAGAAUUGUGAGGCUCUGAUUCUAUAAAUACCUGCACUUGAGUCAAGCUUAAGAGCCAAUGAUGGCACACAUGUGAUGCUCACUGAGAGGCACAGCCUGAGGCUUUGAUCAUCAGAGGUUUUGAUGAUACUUGCUCAGCCUGCAUGGAAUCAUGCUGACCAAUUUCAGUGUUUGAAGAGUUUAAGAUGGGGAGGGGGAAUAAAUUAAACUGCCUUCAGCAGCUAUGUUUCUGUCAUGAAACACAGUAAAUGAAUUGAAAUAUGAAUUUACAAAUAAAUAUAUAGUAAUAAAGGUGUAGUUUACCAGCAGGAGCCUCAGGUGAACAUAUGUUCAUUUGUAUUUAAUACCAUUUAUUCUCUUUUUUUUCUACUGGAUGGUACAUUUAUUCUGUUUUCUGCAGUCUGCUCACAAAGGGGUGAGGAGUUCUUCACUGCCAGAAUAUAUCUUUUGCCUCCACUGGAUAAACUGUAGCUCUUUUUCUAGGAUUUUCAUAUCACUAUUAAAUUGUUGCAUUUCUUUUUACUGGAGAUGCUGUUACCUUCCUUUUGGAGUGCCCUCUAUUACAGUGGGG
ensembl:lncRNA